UACGUAGGGUGCGAGCGUUAAUCGGAAUUACUGGGCGUAAAGCGUGCGCAGGCGGUUAUGUAAGACAGUUGUGAAAUCCCCGGGCUCAACCUGGGAACUGCAUCUGUGACUGCAUAGCUAGAGUACGGUAGAGGGGGAUGGAAUUCCGCGUGUAGCAGUGAAAUGCGUAGAUAUGCGGAGGAACACCGAUGGCGAAGGCAAUCCCCUGGACCUGUACUGACGCUCAUGCACGAAAAGCGUGGGGAGCAAACAGG
rnacentral:rRNA from 1 species